rnacentral:rRNA from 1 species
CUACGGGUGGCUGCAGUGAGGAAUAUUGCACAAUGGGGGGAACCCUGAUGCAGCAACGCCGCGUGGAGGAUGACGCAUUUCGGUGUGUAAACUCCUUUUAUAUGUCAAGAAAAUGACGGUAGCAUAUGAAUAAGCACCGGCUAACUCCGUGCCAGCAGCCGCGGUAAUACGGAGGGUGCAAGCGUUACUCGGACAUCACUGGGCGUAAAGGACGCGUAGGCGGGUUGGAAAGUCAGGUGUGAAAUCCUACAGCUUAACUGUAGAACUGCACUUGAAACUUCUAAUAUAGAGUAUGGGAGGGGGAGAUGGAAUUAGUGGUGUAGGGGUAAAAUCAGUAGAUAUCACUAGGAAUACCUAAAGCGAAGGCGAUCUCCUGGAACAUUACUGACGCUAAGGCGUGAAAGCGUGGGGAGCAAACAGGAUUAGAUACCCCAGUAGUC